AAUAGAUACCCGGGUAGUCCACGCCCUAAACUAUGUCAACUAGUUGUCGGGGAAGAAAUUCCUUGGUAACGCAGCUAACGCGUGAAGUUGACCGCCUGGGGAGUACGGCCGCAAGGUUAAAACUCAAAGGAAUUGACGGGGACCCGCACAAGCGGUGGAUUAUGUGGAUUAAUUCGAUGCAACGCGAAAAACCUUACCUACCCUUGACAUGUACGGAAUUCCGCAGAGAUGUGGAAGUGCCCGAAAGGGAACCGUAACACAGGUGCUGCAUGGCUGUCGUCAGCUCGUGUCGUGAGAUGUUGGGUUAAGUCCCGCAACGAGCGCAACCCUUGCCAUUAGUUGCUACAUUCAGUUGGGCACUCUAAUGGGACCGCCGGUGACAAACCGGAGGAAGGUGGGGAUGACGUCAAGUCCUCAUGGCCCUUAUGGGUAGGGCUUCACACGUAAUACAAUGGUCGGUACAGAGGGCUGCCAACCCGCAAGGGGGAGCUAAUCCCAGAAAGCCGAUCGUAGUCCGGAUUGUAGUCUGCAACUCGACUGCAUGAAGCCGGAAUCG
rnacentral:rRNA from 1 species